ensembl:lncRNA
GAACUCAGCUUAGCCUGACAGUUAGCCUGCCCCGGACCAGAAGCCGUGGAUGAAAGGGGAGGUCUACAGACUCCUGAAGACGCAGAACGCUGCCUUCAGAGCUGGAGAUGAGGUGGGCAUGAGGACAGCUAGGGCCAACCUAUCCCGCGGCUAUGACAGCACCAUCUCCCUGCUGAAUGAGCUGAAUGCCUUCUUCGCUCGCUUUGAGGAACAAAACAGCACCACUGCACAGAAGACUCCACCUCCUCCC